rnacentral:rRNA from 1 species
CGGAAACGGUGAUUAAUACCGGAUAUGACGCUCCACCGCAUGGUGUGGGUGUGGAAAGUUUUUCGGCCAGGGAUGUGCUCGCGGCCUAUCAGCUUGUUGGUGGGGUAAUGGCCUACCAAGGCUUCGACGGGUAGCCGGCCUGAGAGGGUGACCGGCCACACUGGGACUGAGACACGGCCCAGACUCCUACGGGAGGCAGCAGUGGGGAAUAUUGGACAAUGGGCGGAAGCCUGAUCCAGCAACGCCGCGUGAGGGAUGACGGCCUUCGGGUUGUAAACCUCUUUCAGCACAGACGAAGCGCAAGUGACGGUAUGUGCAGAAGAAGGACCGGCCAACUACGUGCCAGCAGCCGCGGUAAUACGUAGGGUCCGAGCGUUGUCCGGAAUUAUUGGGCGUAAAGGGCUCGUAGGCGGUUUGUCGCGUCGGGAGUGAAAACCAGGUGCUUAACACCUGGCCUGCUUUCGAUACGGGCAGACUAGAGGCAUUCAGGGGAGAACGGAAUUCCUGGUGUAGCGGUGAAAUGCGCAGAUAUCAGGAGGAACACCGGUGGCGAAGGCG